AGUAAGUCUUUCAACUAAUUUAUAAUGUUUUACUAUUUUAGUUACUGUGUUGGAAUGUGUGGGGAUGGAGCCAAUGACUGUGGGGCACUUAAAAUGGCAAGUGUUGGAAUCUCUGUAUCUCAGUUAGAGGCAUCUGUUGCUGCUCCUUUCACUUCGAAAGUCCCAAAUAUUUCAUGUGUACCUUUGCUUAUCAAGGAAGGAAGAAAUUCGCUUGUCACGUCUUUCUAUAUGUUUAAAUUCUUAACAUUGGUUACCCUGGUUGAAAUGACUUCUUUAGCAAUUCUGUUUUGGGUAAGACUCUUUAAUUAAUUAUUUAAUUGUAUCC